rnacentral:rRNA from 1 species
GACGAACGCUGGCGGCGUGCUUAACACAUGCAAGUCGAACGGAAAGGCCCUGCUUUUGUGGGGUGCUCGAGUGGCGAACGGGUGAGUAACACGUGAGUAACCUGCCCUUGACUUUGGGAUAACUGCAGGAAACUGGGGCUAAUACCGGAUAGGAGCUCCUGCUGCAUGGUGGGGGUUGGAAAGUUUCGGCGGUUGGGGAUGGACUCGCGGCUUAUCAGCUUGUUGGUGGGGUAGUGGCUUACCAAGGCUUUGACGGGUAGCCGGCCUGAGAGGGUGAACGGCCACAUUGGGACUGAGAUACGGCCCAGACUCCUACGGGAGGCAGCAGUGGGGAAUAUUGCACAAUGGGCGGAAGCCUGAUGCAGCAACGCCGCGUGCGGGAUGACGGCCUUCGGGUUGUAAACCGCUUUCGCCUGUGACGAAGCGUGAGUGACGGUAAUGGGUAAAGAAGCACCGGCUAACUACGUG